CCCUUAGAUGUUCUGGGCCGCACGCGCGCUACACUGAUGCAUUCAACGAGUCUAAAACCUGGUCUGAUAGGGCUGGGUAAUCUUUUGAAAGUGCAUCGUGAUAGGGAUAGACUAUUGCAAUUAUUGGUCUUCAACGAGGAAUUCCUAGUAGACGUAGUUCAUCAGACUGCAUCGAUUACGUCCCUGCCCUUUGUACACACCGCCCGUCGCUCCUACCGAUUGAAUGCUCAGGUGAGCCAUUCGGACUUUCAUCAUGCUGGUUUCCAGUUUUGAUGAAGGAAAGUCUUGCGAACCUUAUCAUUUAGAGGAAGGAGAAGUCGUAACA
rnacentral:rRNA from 1 species